AGAGUUUGAUCCUGGCUCAGGACGAACGCUGGCGGCGCGCCUAACACAUGCAAGUCGAACGAGCGAGAGAGAGCUUGCUUUCUCGAGCGAGUGGCGAACGGGUGAGUAACGCGUGAGGAACCUGCCUCAAAGAGGGGGACAACAGUUGGAAACGACUGCUAAUACCGCAUAAGCCCACGGCUCGGCAUCGAGCAGAGGGAAAAGGAGCAAUCCGCUUUGAGAUGGCCUCGCGUCCGAUUAGCUAGUUGGUGAGGUAACGGCCCACCAAGGCGACGAUCGGUAGCCGGACUGAGAGGUUGAACGGCCACAUUGGGACUGAGACACGGCCCAGACUCCUACGGGAGGCAGCAGUGGGGAAUAUUGCACAAUGGGGGAAACCCUGAUGCAGCGACGCCGCGUGGAGGAAGAAGGUCUUCGGAUUGUAAACUCCUGUUGUUGAGGAAGAUAAUGACGGUACUCAACAAGGAAGUGACGGCUAACUACGUGCCAGCAGCCGCGGUAAAACGUAGGUCACAAGCGUUGUCCGGAAUUACUGGGUGUAAAGGGAGCGCAGGCGGGAAGACAAGUUGGAAGUGAAAACCAUGGGCUCAACCCAUGAAUUGCUUUCAAAACUGUUUUUCUUGAGUAGUGCAGAGGUAGGUGGAAUUCCCGGUGUAGCGGUGGAAUGCGUAGAUAUCGGGAGGAACACCAGUGGCGAAGGCGGCCUACUGGGCACCAACUGACGCUGAGGCUCGAAAGUGUGGGUAGCAAACAGGAUUAGAUACCCUGGUAGUCCACACCGUAAACGAUGAUUACUAGGUGUUGGAGGAUUGACCCCUUCAGUGCCGCAGUU
rnacentral:rRNA from 1 species